rnacentral:misc_RNA from 1 species
UAUCCGUAGGUGAACCUGCGGAGGGAUCAUUACAGAGUUCAUGCCCUACCGGGUAGAUCUCCCACCCUAUGUUAUUAUUACUUUGUUGCUUUGGCGGGCCGUUAGGCUCCGGCCCGACUACCGGCCCCGGCUGGUAAGCGCCCGCCAGAGGACCCAAAACCCUGAAUAUAAGUGUCGUCUGAGUACUAUAUAAUAGUUAAAACUUUCAACAACGGAUCUCUUGGUUCUG